rnacentral:rRNA from 1 species
GCACGUAGUUAGCCGGCACCUUAUUCUCAGGGUACCGUCCUAAGUCUUUCCCUGAAAAAGGAGUUUACAGACCUAAAUCCUUCAUCCUCCACGCGGCGUCGCUGCAUCAGGGUUUCCCCCAUUGUGCAAGAUUCCCAA